AACGAACGCUGGCGGCAUGCCUAACACAUGCAAGUCGAACGAGAUCUUCGGGUCUAGUGGCGCACGGGUGCGUAACGCGUGGGAAUCUGCCCUUUGGUUCGGAAUAACAGUUGGAAACGACUGCUAAUACCGGAUGAUGACGAAAGUCCAAAGAUUUAUCGCCAGAGGAUGAGCCCGCGUAGGAUUAGCUAGUUGGUGUGGUAAAGGCGCACCAAGGCGACGAUCCUUAGCUGGUCUGAGAGGAUGAACAGCCACACUGGGACUGAGACACGGCCCAGACUCCUACGGGAGGCAGCAGUGGGGAAUAUUGGACAAUGGGCGAAAGCCUGAUCCAGCAAUGCCGCGUGAGUGAUGAAGGCCUUAGGGUUGUAAAGCUCUUUUACCCGGGAUGAUAAUGACAGUACCGGGAGAAUGAGCUCCGGCUAACUCCGUGCCAGCAGCCGCCGUAA
rnacentral:rRNA from 1 species